rnacentral:rRNA from 1 species
GGGUUGUGAGGUUAAGCGACUAAGCGUACACGGUGGAUGCCCUGGCAGUCAGAGGCGAUGAAGGACGUGCUAAUCUGCGAUAAGCGUCGGUAAGGUGAUAUGAACCGUUAUAACCGGCGAUUUCCGAAUGGGGAAACCCAGUGUGUUUCGACACACUAUCAUUAACUGAAUCCAUAGGUUAAUGAGGCGAACCGGGGGAACUGAAACAUCUAAGUACCCCGAGGAAAAGAAAUCAACCGAGAUUCCCCCAGUAGCGGCGAGCGAACGGGGAGCAGCCCAGAGCCUGAAUCAGUGUGUGUGUUAGUGGAAGCGUCUGGAAAGGCGCGCGAUACAGGGUGACAGCCCCGUACACAAAAAUGCACAUGCUGUGAGCUCGAUGAGUAGGGCGGGACACGUGGUAUCCUGUCUGAAUAUGGGGGGACCAUCCUCCAAGGCUAAAUACUCCUGACUGACCGAUAGUGAACCAGUACCGUGAGGGAAAGGCGAAAAGAACCCCGGCGAGGGGAGUGAAAAAGAACCUGAAACCGUGUACGUACAAGCAGUGGGAGCACGCUUAGGCGUGUGACUGCGUACCUUUUGUAUAAUGGGUCAGCGACUUAUAUUCUGUAGCAAGGUUAACCGAAUAGGGGAGCCGAAGGGAAACCGAGUCUUAACUGGGCGUUAAGUUGCAGGGUAUAGACCCGAAACCCGGUGAUCUAGCCAUGGGCAGGUUGAAGGUUGGGUAACACUAACUGGAGGACCGAACCGACUAAUGUUGAAAAAUUAGCGGAUGACUUGUGGCUGGGGGUGAAAGGCCAAUCAAACCGGGAGAUAGCUGGUUCUCCCCGAAAGCUAUUUAGGUAGCGCCUCGUGAAUUCAUCUCCGGGGGUAGAGCACUGUUUCGGCAAGGGGGUCAUCCCGACUUACCAACCCGAUGCAAACUGCGAAUACCGGAGAAUGUUAUCACGGGAGACACACGGCGGGUGCUAACGUCCGUCGUGAAGAGGGAAACAACCCAGACCGCCAGCUAAGGUCCCAAAGUCAUGGUUAAGUGGGAAACGAUGUGGGAAGGCCCAGACAGCCAGGAUGUUGGCUUAGAAGCAGCCAUCAUUUAAAGAAAGCGUAAUAGCUCACUGGUCGAGUCGGCCUGCGCGGAAGAUGUAACGGGGCUAAACCAUGCACCGAAGCUGCGGCAGCGACGCUGAUGCGUUGUUGGGUAGGGGAGCGUUCUGUAAGCCUGCGAAGGUGUGCUGUGAGGCAUGCUGGAGGUAUCAGAAGUGCGAAUGCUGACAUAAGUAACGAUAAAGCGGGUGAAAAGCCCGCUCGCCGGAAGACCAAGGGUUCCUGUCCAACGUUAAUCGGGGCAGGGUGAGUCGACCCCUAAGGCGAGGCCGAAAGGCGUAGUCGAUGGGAAACAGGUUAAUAUUCCUGUACUUGGUGUUACUGCGAAGGGGGGACGGAGAAGGCUAUGUUGGCCGGGCGACGGUUGUCCCGGUUUAAGCGUGUAGGCUGGUUUUCCAGGCAAAUCCGGAAAAUCAAGGCUGAGGCGUGAUGACGAGGCACUACGGUGCUGAAGCAACAAAUGCCCUGCUUCCAGGAAAAGCCUCUAAGCAUCAGGUAACAUCAAAUCGUACCCCAAACCGACACAGGUGGUCAGGUAGAGAAUACCAAGGCGCUUGAGAGAACUCGGGUGAAGGAACUAGGCAAAAUGGUGCCGUAACUUCGGGAGAAGGCACGCUGAUAUGUAGGUGAAGUCCCUCGCGGAUGGAGCUGAAAUCAGUCGAAGAUACCAGCUGGCUGCAACUGUUUAUUAAAAACACAGCACUGUGCAAACACGAAAGUGGACGUAUACGGUGUGACGCCUGCCCGGUGCCGGAAGGUUAAUUGAUGGGGUCAGCGCAAGCGAAGCUCUUGAUCGAAGCCCCGGUAAACGGCGGCCGUAACUAUAACGGUCCUAAGGUAGCGAAAUUCCUUGUCGGGUAAGUUCCGACCUGCACGAAUGGCGUAAUGAUGGCCAGGCUGUCUCCACCCGAGACUCAGUGAAAUUGAACUCGCUGUGAAGAUGCAGUGUACCCGCGGCAAGACGGAAAGACCCCGUGAACCUUUACUAUAGCUUGACACUGAACAUUGAGCCUUGAUGUGUAGGAUAGGUGGGAGGCUUUGAAGUGUGGACGCCAGUCUGCAUGGAGCCGACCUUGAAAUACCACCCUUUAAUGUUUGAUGUUCUAACGUUGACCCGUAAUCCGGGUUGCGGACAGUGUCUGGUGGGUAGUUUGACUGGGGCGGUCUCCUCCUAAAGAGUAACGGAGGAGCACGAAGGUUGGCUAAUCCUGGUCGGACAUCAGGAGGUUAGUGCAAUGGCAUAAGCCAGCUUGACUGCGAGCGUGACGGCGCGAGCAGGUGCGAAAGCAGGUCAUAGUGAUCCGGUGGUUCUGAAUGGAAGGGCCAUCGCUCAACGGAUAAAAGGUACUCCGGGGAUAACAGGCUGAUACCGCCCAAGAGUUCAUAUCGACGGCGGUGUUUGGCACCUCGAUGUCGGCUCAUCACAUCCUGGGGCUGAAGUAGGUCCCAAGGGUAUGGCUGUUCGCCAUUUAAAGUGGUACGCGAGCUGGGUUUAGAACGUCGUGAGACAGUUCGGUCCCUAUCUGCCGUGGGCGCUGGAGAACUGAGGGGGGCUGCUCCUAGUACGAGAGGACCGGAGUGGACGCAUCACUGGUGUUCGGGUUGUCAUGCCAAUGGCACUGCCCGGUAGCUAAAUGCGGAAGAGAUAAGUGCUGAAAGCAUCUAAGCACGAAACUUGCCCCGAGAUGAGUUCUCCCUGACCCUUUAAGGGUCCUGAAGGAACGUUGAAGACGACGACGUUGAUAGGCCGGGUGUGUAAGCGCAGCGAUGCGUUGAGCUAACCGGUACUAAUGAACCGUGAGGCUUAACCUUACAACGCCGAAGCUGUU